rnacentral:rRNA from 1 species
CUGACCCUACGGGACGCAGCAGGAGGGGGACAGAGGACGGCAGCAGCAGAACGUGGCUCUUGUGGGGAGGCAGCAGCUACGCACCGGCAGGUUCAAUUUGAUUGCGUCCACGGGCUGGUAGAAGGGCCAGGCGAACUGGUGUUUCCAGAGCGUCUUCACCACCACAUUCUGCAUGUACUGCAGCUGGUUGGUCUUGCGGCCGGGCUUGGGGUUGGAGACCUCCGGGGGGGUGGGUUCACAGGGCCCGGGGUCGCUGGAUCCCCGCGGGGGCGACUGUCGUGGCGGUGGACACCCUCCGGCAGCUCACUCACUUUCUGCGGUCACAGCAGCGGCUUGGAGAGGCCCUGGCUGCUUCUAAGCUCCCUGAGAAAGCGCGACGUCCCAUUUCCGGGCCCAACCAGGCGACAGCUGCAGAGGAGGAAGCACAACAGAGAGGAAGGCCAGUCACCCUGGGACCCCCACCUCUCCCAGCCUCGGCGGGCUCCUGAGGGCACCUGUCGGGCCUCAGCAGGCCUGCUCCACUCACCCCCAUUACCCAGCCACCCAGGUGAGAGGCUGUCGGGAAAGCUGCUCAGGCGGAAGCGCGACCAGCUCAGAACGACUCUCCAACCACUGCUCUCAGGCACGGGAGGGAAGGCCUGGGCGGUGGAGGGAGCUCAGGCACAUGCCACUUGCCCCCAGGUGGGGGCUUGGGGAACACACUGGGGAGGCAGGUGUGCCAAGGGACUCAGCCACUGGCAGCCUUUCUGCCCACCAACCACCCACUCGUGGGGUCGACUCGUUGCUACUGGGCUCUGACAGCUUGGCCACAACAAUGUACUGAAGAGUGACCCAUGUGUGGACAGCCACGGUGCGGGCCCAACACAGCCAGGGGAAGUGGGGGCCGGCACAACACGGACGUUUGCAGACCCAAACACGGUGCGGGAGGUGGUGCCCUUGAGCGAGGCCAAGCAGUGAGGUUCUACUGUAACCAGGAGAACGGGCCCAGGUUUGUGAUGGCGGCGUGGCUGUGACCCGGCCUGACUCUCGGCCAAUCAGAGAGGCGGGAGUGGCGGCUCAGACCCUGCUGACCUCCACACCCCAGCUGACCACAGGGAGCUCUGCACACGCGAGAUGCUGGGGCUUCCCGGCCCCGACUGGCUAGCCACAGGCAGGGCUGGCAGGAGGAGGCCACCGCCACCCUGCGUGUCCCAGGAGGGCACGGACAGUUGAGAACGCCCAUAGGAACGCUGCACAGUGGAGAACGCAUGCAGGCCUCCGACCAUGGCCAGGGCCCUGCGGCGUGGCCCCGUGUCUACCUGUAAAGGUGUGGGGCAGACCCGAGGAGCUCUAACCCAGCGCCUGGGACUUCAACUCAGCCUCGUACCUUGCUGCCACUUGGGCCUUUCCUGCAGUCGUGUAACUGACAGUUAGACAGGUCACGGCUGGAGGCUCCCCGAGCACAGGCAGCAGCUCUGCCAUGGGAGGAGCCGGCUCCGGCCCCAGAACCGGCCACUUGUAGACGCUCUGGGGCAGACAGUCAAGACUAGGGGAAGUUUGUGAGCUGGGUGACAUCUGGUUGGUCCCCUGAAAUCUGCCUCGGUGGGCAGUUACACCACAGCCAUGGGCAAAUGCUGCAAACCAGGACCCUCCCCAAGCUGGAUGCCUCAAUGUCGUCAGCACCCUGCGUGUAUCCUCACUUCCUCCCACCCCACCCCAGAGAGGAAAGGGCUUCAAACUACACGCAACACAGCUCACCCACCAAGCAUGCCAGCACGAGAGAACGUGCCCCGCCUCUGGGGCGCCCACCUGUGCCAGGGCCUCAUCCAGGGAAGCCCCUCACACCCACCCUUCUAUGCCCCCUCCUGAGGUGAGCGGGAUGCCUCUCCACCUCACCGACCCGGUGCUCACAGCCCCAGGCUGCAACCCUGGUGCGGAGGGCAGCCCCAGGCCAAAGCGUGGCAGCACUGCCCCCUCGCCACCACCACUUGCAAGGACUUCCAUGAAGCUCCCAGCAGGGCUCCCCUGCUCUGCCCCGCAAGGACCGCCUAGCUCCGCACUGCAGGGUGAUCCUGUUAAAACCAAGUCGGAUCAAGUCACCGGUCUGCUCAAACCUCCCAGGGGCUCCACGUGACUCAGAGUGAAAGCGAGUCCCGCCCCACCCUGGUUGGUGGGGCCUGAAUGACCACUGAGUCCUGAGACCUGUGUCCUGUCCCCAGAUUUGCGGCCCUCCCUCAAGGCCUGGACAGCAGCAGGCUCCUGCCCUUCCAAGGCCUCCAGGGUGCAGCUCCCAGAACACCCUUCCUGCUGGCCCCCAGGCAGCACAGACACUGGGGCCAGCCACACGGCCUGGUCCUUCCACUUCCCCACGAGGCUCCUGAGGGUGGAGGAGUCAGGCACAGAGAGAGCUCACGCCAGUUAUGGGCACCAAGCACCACACGCAGCUCCGCUGAGACUGCCGGGCAGCACCCUGACAGAAGGCCCAGGCUGUGCUGCCGCCUCCCCGUAGGGUCCAGGACAUGGCUCAGAUUGAACGCUGGCGGUUGCUUACACAUGCAAGUCGAACGGCACGGACUUCGGUCUGGUGGCGAGUGGCGAACGGGUGAGUAAUGUAUCGGAACGUGCCUAGGGAAGCGGGGGAUAACUACGCGAAAGCGUAGCUAAUACCGCAUACCGCCCUUCGGGGGGAAAGCGGGGGACCUUCGGGCCUCGCACUAUUAGGAGCGGCCGAUAUCGGAUUAGCUAGUUGGUGGGGUAACGGCUCACCAAGGCGACGAUCCGUAGCUGGUUUGAGAGGACGACCAGCCACACUGGGACUGAGACACGGCCCAGACUCCUACGGGAGGCAGCAGUGGGGAAUUUUGGACAAUGGGGGAAACCCUGAUCCAGCCAUCCCGCGUGUGCGAUGAAGGCCUUCGGGUUGUAAAGCACUUUUGGCAGGAGAAGAAACGGCAUGGGAUAAUAACACCGUGCAACUGACGGUACCUGCAGAAUAAGCACCGGCUAACUACGUGCCAGCAGCCGCGGUAAGGAUGUAGGGUGCAAGGCAAUCAAAUUACUGGGCGUAAAGCGUGCGCAGGCGGUUCGGAAAGAAAGAUGUGAAAUCCCAGAGCUUAACUUUGGAACUGCAUUUUUAACUACCGAGCUAGAGUGUGUCAGAGGGAGGUGGAAUUCCGCGUGUAGCAGUGAAAUGCGUAGAUAUGCGGAGGAACACCGAUGGCGAAGGCAGCCUCCUGGGAUAACACUGACGCUCAUGCACGAAAGCGUGGGGAGCAAACAGGAUUAGAUACCUCUGGUAGUCCACGCCCUAAACGAUGUCAACUAGCUGUUGGGGCCUUCGGGCCUUGGUAGCGCAGCUAACGCGUGAAGUUGGACUGCCUGGGGAGUACGGUCGCAAGAUUAAAACUCAAAGGAAUUGACGGGGACCCGCACAAGCGGUGGAUGAUGUGGAUUAAUUGAUGCAACGCGAAAAACCUUACCUACCCUUGACAUGUCUGGAAUCCCGAAGAGAUUUGGGAGUGCUCGCAAGAGAACCGGAACACAGGUGCUGCAUGGCUGUCGUCAGCUCGUGUCGUGAUGCUGGGUUAAGUCCCGCAACGAGCGCAACCCUUGUCAUUAGUUGCUACGAAAGGGCACUCUAAUGAGACUGCCGGUGACAAACUGAGGAAGGUGAUGACGUCAAGUCCUCAUGGCCCUUAUGGGUAGGGCUUCACACGUCAUACAAUGGUCGGGACAGAGGGUCGCCAACUCCGCGAGGGGGAGCCAAUCCCAGAAACCCGAUCGUAGUCCGAUCGCAGUCUGCAACUCGACUGCGUGAAGUCGGAAUCGCUAGUAAUCGCGGAUCAGCAUGUCGCGGUGAAUACGUUCCCGGUCUUGUACACACCGCCCGUCACACCAUGGGAGUGGGUUUUACCAGAAGUGCAGUUAGCCUAACCGUAAGGGGAGGGCGAUUACCACGGUAGGAUUCAUGACUGGGGUGAAGUCGUAACAAGGUAA